CGUAGGUGGCAAGCGUUGUCCGGAAUUAUUGGGCGUAAAGGGCGCGUAGGCGGUCCCUUAAGUCAGAUGUGAAAUCCCGAGGCUUAACCUCGGGCGUGCAUUUGAAACUGGGGGACUAGAGUGCAGGAGAGGUAAGUGGAAUUCCUAGUGUAGCGGUGAAAUGCGUAGAUAUUAGGAGGAACACCAGUGGCGAAGGCGACUUACUGGACUGUAACUGACGCUGAGGCGCGAAAGCGUGGGGAGCAAACAGGAUUAGAUACCCUGGUAGUCCACGCUGUAAACGAUGGAUACUAGGUGUGGGAGGUAUCGACCCCUUCCGUGCCGCAGUAAACGCAAUAAGUAUCCCGCCUGGGGAGUACGGCCGCAAGGUUG
rnacentral:rRNA from 1 species